GACGAACGCUGGCGGCGUGCCUAAUACAUGCUAGUCGAACGCAGUGGGGACGGGUGAGUAACACGUGGGUAACCUCCCCUCAGAGGGGAUAACCCUUGGAAACAGGUGCUAAACCUAUACUGAUGGCUGGGCCCGCGGUGCAUUAGCUAGUUGGUGAGGUAACGGCUAACCAAGGCCACGAUGCAUAGCCGACCUGAGAGGGUGAUCGGCCACACUGGGACUGAGACACGGUCCAGACUCCUACGGGAGGCAGCAGUGGGGAAUAUUGCACAAUGGGCGAAAGCCUGAUGCAGCCAUGCCGCGUGUAUGAAGAAGGCCCUAGGGUUGUAAAGUACUUUCAGUCGGGAGGCGUUACAGACAGAAGAAGCACCGGCUAACUCCGUGCCAGCAGCCGCGGUAAUUC
rnacentral:rRNA from 1 species